UACGUAGGGGGGCAAGCGUUGUCCGGAAUCAUUGGGCGUAAAGAGCGUGUAGGCGGCCCGAUAAGUCCGCCGUGAAAGUCCAGGGCUCAACCCUGGAAUGCCGGUGGAAACUGUCGGGCUGGAGUCCGGAAGAGGCGAGUGGAAUUCCUGGUGUAGCGGUGGAAUGCGCAGAUAUCAGGAGGAACACCAAUAGCGAAGGCAGCUCGCUGGGACGGUAUUGACGCUAAGGCGCGAAAGCGUGGGGAGCAAACAGG
rnacentral:rRNA from 1 species